AGACCCGCAUGAUCUUUGGGCCAAUCCAAAAGUUCAGCUUGUGCAGGCCAAGAGGUUUGCGACUGGUGUCUUGGAGCAUUAUAACAGAAACAAGAAGGUGUGUGCUAUACAAUUUAUUCACUUGAUCGAGGCACAAGAAAAGAGAAUGUUAUCUAUGUUGGAUUGGUGAUUUGCAUUGGUACGACCUUUGUUAAUUUCUUGUGCCCAGGUCAAAUUUGAGCUCCUGGAUGCCAAGCCUGUGAUCAACAUACCCGAGCCACGAUGCUGUUAGCCUGUUACACACACAUCAACUUCACCGCAAGGUUCAGCAAGGAGGAUUCGCAGGAACAGCUUUUCUUCGCUGAGAUUUACCACUGUGGCAAAAGGAGGGCUCCGAGUGGCUUCAUCGUCACUUGCUGUGAGCCAUUGGGCUCUGAUUCUGCAGCGGGACAGAAGUUUUGCAAGCCUGAUGGUAGCUCGGUGGUGAGCAACAAUGCUGAUUUUACUUACUGCUUCGCCUGCACCGAGAGGAUGUUGCAUCCGAGGGGCGAAAACUAUGUCGCUGGCCACUGCAGCAUCCCGCGUGUUUACGACUAUGUGCGUUAGCAGUGCAGUGAAGAAGCAUGUGGAACUCUGUGUACUUGUGCCAUUUUUGCACUUGCUGCUGGAGACUACUGACGGAGUUACCAGAUCCGGGGCUUAACCUCACCUUUGCACUCUUCAAAGUGCUCGGUUGGUGAUUGCCCAUUAUUCUGGAUGUUCUUGGUUUUCUGAAAUCAAUUAUCUGAAUGAAAUAAUUGAUUUCGCUGUAGUUGUCUGAACACUAGCAAACCCUACAAUGACUGUAGGGGAAAAAUAAACACAUUUGUCACAAUUCCAA